UUUCUUACUUCUCUCUUCAGCUAUGGCAGACAUGAUACUGUCAGCAUCUGGGUGCCCACAUAAACAGCUGUCUACAGGAAACAAGGCAGGAGGCCCAUAUUAAAUAAUGAAGAUAGAAUACAUUAAUUACACCAUGGAUGUUAUAUUCCCUCUUAUAAUUUCUGAGUACAAAUAUGAGAAUGGAUCUAAAAGAGGAAGGAGAAAGAGAGUUGACAGAUUGAAACUAUGGAAGAGCAAAGUGACUACUGUGUGUCUGCUCAGAUGAAUUCACAUUCGAAAUGGCCUGCCCCAAAGAGAGAAAAAGGGACCUCUGAACAAAGAGAUAAGUAAAAAAGCCCCUUAAGUCCUUAAGAAUUUCAUGGGGAAAAAUCACAAACAGAAG
rnacentral:lncRNA from 1 species